UGGGCGUAAGGGAGCGUAGGUGGCGGGCUAAGUCUGGUGUGAAAUCUCUGGGCUCAACUCAGAAAUGGCAUUAGAAACUAGUCUGCUAGAGGAUUGGAGGGGAGACUGGAAUUCUCGGUGUAGCAGUGAAAUGCGUAGAUAUCGAGAGGAACACCAGUGGCGAAGGCGAGUCUCUGGACAAUUCCUGACACUGAUGCUCGAAAGCUAGGGGAGCAAACGGGAUUAGAUACCCCGGUAGUCCUAGCUGUAAACGGUGCGCGCUUGCCGUAGGUGGAAUCGACCCCGCCUGUGGCGAAGCUAACGCGUUAAGCGCGCCGCCUGGGAAGUACGGUCGCAAGAUUAAAACUCAAAGAAAUUGACGGGGGCCUGCACAAGCGGUGGAGUAUGUGGCUUAAUUCGAUGCAACGCGAAGAACCUUACCUGGCCUUGACAUGCAAGUGGUAGAAGCGUGAAAGCGUAACGAUUCCGCAAGGAAAGCUUGCACAGGUGCUGCAUGGCUGUCGUCGGCUCGUGUCGUGAGAUGUUGGGUUAAGUCCCGCAACGAGCGCAACCCCUGUGUCCUGUUGCUCCCGGUUUACCCGGUGCACUCUGGACAGACUGCCUCGCUUAAACGAGGAGGAAGGUG
rnacentral:rRNA from 1 species